UACGUAGGGUGCAAGCGUUAAUCGGAAUCACUGGGCGUAAAGCGCGCGUAGGCGGUCCGUUAAGUGGGAUGUGAAAUCCCCGGGCUUAACCUGGGAAUUGCAUUUCAAACUGGCGGACUAGAGUGCGGUAGAGGGAGGUAGAAUUUCCUGUGUAGCGGUGAAAUGCGUAGAUAUAGGAAGGAAUACCAGUGGCGAAGGCGGCCUCCUGGAUCGACACUGACGCUGAGGCGCGAAAGCGUGGGGAGCAAACAGG
rnacentral:rRNA from 1 species